AUUGAACGCUGGCGGCAGGCCUAACACAUGCAAGUCGAGCGGCAGCGGAAGGAAGCUUGCUUCCUUGCCGGCGAGCGGCGGACGGGUGAGUAAUGUCUGGGGAUCUGCCCGAUGGAGGGGGAUAACUACUGGAAACGGUAGCUAAUACCGCAUAACGUCGCAAGACCAAAGUGGGGGACCUUCGGGCCUCACACCAUCGGAUGAACCCAGAUGGGAUUAGCUAGUAGGCGGGGUAAAGGCCCACCUAGGCGACGAUCUCUAGCUGGUCUGAGAGGAUGACCAGCCACACUGGAACUGAGACACGGUCCAGACUCCUACGGGAGGCAGCAGUGGGGAAUAUUGCACAAUGGGGGAAACCCUGAUGCAGCCAUGCCGCGUGUAUGAAGAAGGCCUUCGGGUUGUAAAGUACUUUCAGCGGGGAGGAAGGCAGUGAACUUAAUACGUUCGCUGAUUGACGUUACCCGCAGAAGAAGCACCGGCUAACUCCGUGCCAGCCGCCGCCGUAACAC
rnacentral:rRNA from 1 species